rnacentral:rRNA from 1 species
CAGCCGCCGCGGUAAAACGUAGGGUGCAAGCGUUAAUCGGAAUUACUGGGCGUAAAGCGUGCGCAGGCGGUUAUAUAAGACAGAUGUGAAAUCCCCGGGCUCAACCUGGGAACUGCAUUUGUGACUGUAUAGCUAGAGUACGGCAGAGGGGGAUGGAAUUCCGCGUGUAGCAGUGAAAUGCGUAGAUAUGCGGAGGAACACCGAUGGCGAAGGCAAUCCCCUGGGCCUGUACUGACGCUCAUGCACGAAAGCGUGGGGAGCAAACAGGAUUAGAUACCCCGGUAGUCCCUGUCUCUUAUCA